GGCGAGAGUAGUACUAGG
rnacentral:snRNA from 1 species